GAUGAACGCUGGCGGCAGGCCUAACACAUGCAAGUCGAGCGGUAACAUUUCUAGCUUGCUAGAAGAUGACGAGCGGCGGACGGGUGAGUAAUACUUGGGGAUCUGCCUGAUGGCGGGGGACAACCACUGGAAACGGUGGCUAAUACCGCAUAAUACCUACGGGUCAAAGUGUGGGACCUUCGGGCCACACGCCAUCAGAUGAACCCAAGCGAGAUUAGCUAGUUGGUGAGGUAAUGGCUCACCAAGGCGACGAUCUCUAGCUGUUCUGAGAGGAUGAUCAGCCACACUGGGACUGAGACACGGCCCAGAUUCCUACGGGAGGCAGCAGUGGGGAAUAUUGGACAAUGGGCGCAAGCUUGAUCCAGCCAUGCCGCGUGUGUGAAGAAGGCCUUCGGGUUGUAAAGCACUUUCAGUGGUGAGGAAGGCGAUGAAGUUAAUAGCUGCAAUGAUUGACGUUAGCCACAGAAGAAGCACCGGCUAACUCCGUGCCAGCAGCCGCGGUAAUACGGAGGGUGCGAGCGUUAAUCGGAAUUACUGGGCGUAAAGCGCACGUAGGCGGCUUGUUAAGCAAGAUGUGAAAGCCCAGGGCUCAACCUUGGAAUUGCAUUUUGAACUGGCAAGCUAGAGUUUUGAAGAGGGUGGUAGAAUUUCCAGUGUAGCGGUGAAAUGCGUAGAUAUUGGAAGGAAUACCAGUGGCGAAGGCGGCCACCUGGUCAAAAACUGACGCUGAGGAGCGAAAGCGUGGGGAGCAAACAGGAUUAGAUACCCUGGUAGUCCACGCCGUAAACGAUGUCAACUAGUUGUUCGUGUCUUUGAGACGUGAGUAACGCAGCUAACGCACUAAGUUGACCGCCUGGGGAGUACGGCCGCAAGGUUAAAACUCAAAUGAAUUGACGGGGGCCCGCACAAGCGGUGGAGCAUGUGGUUUAAUUCGAUGCAACGCGAAGAACCUUACCAUCCCUUGACAUCCAGAGAAUUCUUCAGAGAUGAGGAAGUGCCUUCGGGAACUCUGAGACAGGUGCUGCAUGGCUGUCGUCAGCUCGUGUUGUGAGAUGUUGGGUUAAGUCCCGCAACGAGCGCAACCCUUAUCCUUAGUUGCCAGCACGUAAUGGUGGGAACUCUAGGGAGACUGCCGGUGAUAAACCGGAGGAAAGUGGGGACGACAUCUAGUCUUCAUGGCCCUUACGGGAUGGGCUACACACGUGCUACAAUGGCGCACACAAAGGGCUGCAAGCUAGCGAUAGCAAGCGAAUCUCAAAAAGUGCGUCGUAGUCCGGAUCGGAGUCUGCAACUCGACUCCGUGAAGUCGGAAUCGCUAGUAAUCGUGGAUCAGAAUGCCACGGUGAAUACGUCCCGGGCCUUGUACACACCG
rnacentral:rRNA from 1 species